AUUGAACGCUGGCGGCAGGCUUAACACAUGCAAGUCGAGCGGAGAUGAGGUGCUUGCACCUUAUCUUAGCGGCGGACGGGUGAGUAAUGCUUAGGAAUCUGCCUAUUAGUGGGGGACAACAUUCCGAAAGGAAUGCUAAUACCGCAUACGUCCUACGGGAGAAAGCAGGGGAUCUUCGGACCUUGCGCUAAUAGAUGAGCCUAAGUCGGAUUAGCUCGUUGGUGGGGUAAAGGCCUACCAAGGCGACGAUCUGUAGCGGGUCUGCGAGGAUGAUCCGCCACACUGGGACUGAGACACGGCCCAGACUCCUACGGGAGGCAGCAGUGGGGAAUAUUGGACAAUGGGGGGAACCCUGAUCCAGCCAUGCCGCGUGUGUGAAGAAGGCCUUAUGGUUGUAAAGCACUUUAAGCGAGGAGGAGGCUACUGAGACUAAUACUCUUGGAUAGUGGACGUUACUCGCAGAAUAAGCACCGGCUAACUUCGUGCCAGCAGCCGCCGUAAUAC
rnacentral:rRNA from 1 species